rnacentral:rRNA from 1 species
UACAGAGACUGCAAGCGUUAUUCGGAUUCACUGGGCGUAAAGGGUGCGCAGGCGGCCAAGUGUGUUAGGCGUGAAAGCCCGGGGCUUAACCCCGGAAUUGCACCUAAAACUACAUGGCUAGAGCAUUGGAGAGGGUAGCGGAAUUCACGGUGUAGCAGUGAAAUGCGUAGAUAUCGGAAGGAACGUCAGUGGCGAAGGCGGCCACCUGGACUGAUACUGACACUGAGGCGCGAAAGCGUGGGGAGCGAACAGG